UCGAGGCGCUGAGCGGGGCCCGGUGUGAGCAGCGUCGCGGUGCGAUGGGUUGGUUGCGGGUGCUCGGUGAGAGUUGCGAUUAGUAAUGCUUUGCGUGCGGGUACUUUGAACGUGGUUGCAGAGCGUUAUUGUGCGUUUAGUUUGGUGUUGGGUACCUUGUGGUGCAAUGGAAUUAAAGGCAAACUGAACAUCGUACGUUUUGCCGGUCGGGUUCGAUGUACGUAUUACAUUAGACUCAUUAGAGGCAGUGAGCGAAGGCAGGUGUGCGUGGCGUCGCAGAGUGGUGGAUUGGUUGCAGGUGCUCUGAGAGAGUUGCGACUCGGUGAUGGUCUGGGUGAGGGUGCUCCGAGUGCGGUUGCAGCUCGUCAUUGUGCUUUUUUUUUGUGUGUAGUGUAACGGCGUGUUCUGUGUUUAGUGUUACCAUAUUAUAUCGCCUCGGUCUCUCACCUCGAGCAUCGUUCAGUAAGUACCAUGCACAGGUUCAUCACGCAACAAGGACACCGCUGGAGCACCCCGUCGAACCAGAUAAGGAAAGCUAGUGUUUCCUAGGGUGUUAGGGCGAUAGGGUGUCAGGCUGCUAACCCAUCUUCCAUUUCAGGUACAAACUCAAAGGUAUUCUCUUUCAGGUACAUAUUAACGAGCAUUUUCUAGAUUUUCCCCAGACAACUGCCCUUGCAGAUCGACCAUGGCGGCGGUGAGGACGAAUGCAAGAAGAGAGACGGUAGUGGUAAAGGAGACUUCUUACACCUUGACUUGACGAAUAGAGAUUCCAGAAGAGUUGAAGCGAUGAGAGGCUGACACAGGAUCGUUCCAAACACAACAAAAAAAAAAAAUCUCGGUUAAAAGCGGAAGACUGGGCCACAUGGCAUUCUGGGGUCGCUGCAUCAA